GAAAUGCGAUAAGUAAUGUGAAUUGCAGAAUUCAGUGAAUCAUCGAAUCUUUGAACGCACAUUGCGCCCCCUGGUAUUCCGGGGGGCAUGCCUGUUCGAGCGUCAUUUCACCACUCAAGCCUCGCUUGGUAUUGGGCGACGCGGUCCGCCGCGCGCCUCAAAUCGACCGGCUGGGUCUUCCGUCCCCUCAGCGUGGUGGAAACUAUUCGCUAAAGGGUGCCGCGGGAGGUCACGCCGCAAAACAACCCCAUUUCUAAGGUUGACCUCGGAUCAGGUAGGGAUACCCGCUGAACUUAAGC
rnacentral:misc_RNA from 1 species